AUUACGGCUCAGUAACACGUAGUCAACCUGCCCUGGAGACCAGGAUAACCCCGGGAAACUGGGAUUAAUACUGGAUAGGUCAUCUCAUCUGGAAGGAGAGAUGGCUUAAAGGGGUGUGUGAGCUUCUUUCAUACAGCUGCUCCAGGAUGGGACUGCGACUGAUCAGGCUGUUGGCGGGGUAAUGGCCCACCAAACCAGUAACCAGUACGGGCCUUGAGAGAGGGGGCCCGGAGAUGGACACUGAGAGAAGGGUCCAGGUCCUACGGGGCGCAGCAGGCGCGAAACCUUCGCAAUGCGCGAAAGCGUGACGAGGUUAAUCCGAGUGGUUCCCGCUGAGGGAAUCUUUUGUCGGCUCUAAAAAGGCCGGCGAAUAAGGGGAGGGCAAGUCUGGUGUCAGCCGCCGCGGUAAUACCAGCUCCUCGAGUGGUCGGGGCGAUUAUUGGGCCUAAAGCAUCCGUAGCCGGUUCUGUAGGUCCUCUGUUAAAUCCAACGGCUUAACCGUUGGCCCGCAGAGGAUACCGCAGGACUAGGAGGCGGGAGAGGCAGACGGUACUCUACGUGUAGGGGUAAAAUCCUUUGAUCCGUAGAAGACCACCAGUGGCGAAGGCGGUCUGCCAGAACGCGCUCGACGGUGAGGGAUGAAAGCUGGGGGAGCGAACCGGAUUAGAUACCCGGGUAGUCCCA
rnacentral:rRNA from 1 species